rnacentral:tRNA from 1 species
GCAAUGGAGGUUCAGUGGUAGAAUUCUCUCUUCCGUGCUCAGGGACCUGGGUUCGAUUCCCAGUCAAUGCA